rnacentral:rRNA from 1 species
GGGGCAUGGCGGCAUGCUACCAUGCAAGUCGAACGGUAGCACAGAGAGCUUGCUCUCGGGUGACGAGUGGCGGACGGGUGAGUAAUGUCUGGGAAACUGCCUGAUGGAGGGGGAUAACUACUGGAAACGGUAGCUAAUACCGCAUAAUGUCGCAAGACCAAAGAGGGGGACCUUCGGGCCUCUUGCCAUCAGAUGUGCCCAGAUGGGAUUAGCUAGUAGGUGGGGUAACGGCUCACCUAGGCGACGAUCCCUAGCUGGUCUGAGAGGAUGACCAGCCACACUGGAACUGAGACACGGUCCAGACUCCUACGGGAGGCAGCAGUGGGGAAUAUUGCACAAUGGGCGCAAGCCUGAUGCAGCCAUGCCGCGUGUAUGAAGAAGGCCUUCGGGUUGUAAAGU